rnacentral:rRNA from 1 species
UACGUAGGGGGCAAGCGUUGUCCGGAUUUAUUGGGCGUAAAGAGCGUGUAGGCGGCCAGACAGGUCCGUUGUGAAAACUCGAGGCUCAACCUCGAGACGCCGAUGGAAACCGUCUGGCUAGAGUCCGGAAGAGGAGAGUGGAAUUCCUGGUGUAGCGGUGAAAUGCGCAGAUAUCAGGAAGAACACCCGUGGCUAAGGCGGCUCUCUAGUACGGUACUGACGCUGAGACGCGAAAGCGUAGGGAGCGAACAGG